rnacentral:rRNA from 1 species
CCUACGGGAGGCAGCAGUGGGGAAUAUUGGACAAUGGGGGAAACCCUGAUCCAGCGACGCCGCGUGAGUGAAGAAGUAUUUCGGUACGUAAAGCUCUAUCAGCAGGAAAGAAAAUGACGGUACCUGACUAAGAAGCCCCGGCUAACUACGUGCCAGCAGCCGCGGUAAUACGUAGGGGGCAAGCGUUAUCCGGAUUUACUGGGUGGAAAGGGAGCGUAGACGGCAGCGCAAGUCUGGAGUGAAAUGCCGGGGCCCAACCCCGGAACUGCUCUGGAAACUGUGAAGCUGGAGUGCAGGAGAGGUAAGCGGAAUUCCUGGUGUAGCGGUGAAAUGCGUAGAUAUCAGGAGGAACACCGGCGGCGAAGGCGGCUUACUGGACUGUAACUGACGUUGAGGCUCGAAGGCGUGGGGAGCAAACAGGAUUAGAUACCCGGGUAGUC